AUUUUUUUAUUACCUUCCCCCUCCCUCUUUGACCCCUCCCCCUUUGACCCCUCCCCCUUUGACCCCUCCCUCUUUGACCCCUCCCCCUUUGACCCCUCCCCUUUGACCCAAAUGCCUUUGCGGCCGCAUCCAGGCUUUGCCCGCGCCAGGCUAACACGUGUAGGAGAUUUUAGCAAUGGCGUGGAAUUUGAAAGAGCUUCAAUAAAAGCCAACAUUAAAUCGAGUUUUAGAUCAAAAUAUUCGUUCUAAAACCUUUAAUUUUUCGAUUUUAUCCAAGUAUAAUCACUUAUCUUUAAAGAAUGGACUUUCUUGUGUUCUUAGCCGCUCCAAAAGGGCUGCAAAUUCCUUCAGAAGAUGCUAUUCUGUGAAGCUUACUGAAUUACAACACGUGGUUGAAGCUUGAAGUGUGAUGGUCUUUUGGCGUCGAUACAAGCGCCGUAACCUGUUCAGAAGCUGCUGAAAAUACUCUGGUGUGUCUGCUUCUAAGGUAUUUGGGCUUGUUCUUGUGUCGAUAUAGUUUAAAUCUUGAUGCAUGAAGGAUAUAUCAUGUCUCAUUUUGCUGGGGUUUAUUAAUUAAGGGGCCAUAUUCACGUUGUCAGAGUGGGUGGGUGGAUUUUAUCCUAACUUGCCUGAGGUUUAUUCGUGGCAUAAUGACAAUUUUGUGAAAAUUUUGAAGAAUUUGAGGUGAACUACAAUGAUGAUAUUUAAAGAAAGUAAUUUUUGCAAAUAUAUCCAUUCAUUCCUACAGUAUAACAUCCAUUUAAAGUCCUUUAGGCCACAUAAAAAAAAUUACUUGUUUAGCGUCCACCCAUUUUAAUUUUUCUAGGUUCGGGUGGGCGGGCGGGUUUUUUUCGUAAAAUGCAACACAAAUUUUGCUAAAUGCAGGAAAUCCAGUAUAUUACCACAGUCAAAACUCACUUUAAUUCUUUCAAAAUCCGUUCAUGUUUUUUAAUACCAUUCAUGCUUUUAAUAAAACAGAAAAUUACCGUUUGGCGGUCAAGCGCGAACACUUUAGCUGCGAACAGGCAUAUUCUGGGAAGGAAAAGUAAAACGGUCUUUUUUAUAGAGAGUUUUUGCACUAAACUCUAAAAAAAAUUAGGGGACUUUUAUCAGGUCGGGUGGGGAUGCUAAACAAGUAAUAGUUUAAGGAAUUGCUUUGCGAUUUAGUUUAUUAUGCAUUCAGUCAAUUCCAGCUGCGACCAUCCACCCCCCGGACAGUGCGGGGCAUUUGUAUGCUUACUUGUCGCCACGGCCGGGCAUUUGCAGCUGCGUGUUCACCCAGGGACCGGGCAUUUGUCAAUAUCGGGUUAUUAUCCCCGGGCAUUUGUCGCUCACAGAGAAAAGACUGCGGCCACAAGUUUCCUUUGUUGUAUGCCAAAAUGGACAACCAUUAAAUACGUUAAACAAAUUUUAUAUUAUAUUAUUGUCGAAUGUUGGUUUUCAAGUAUGAAUCAAUGUUUAAGAUUUUCCUUCAGUCCAUAUUAUAUAUAUUGUAUUUUCAAUGAAAAACUUUCUGCAAUAAAACAGGGGUUUCAGAAUAAGCCGGCAGCUGCCGGAGUUCCGCCGGCUACUUGAACUUUUACCGCCGACUACUUUUUGUUUGGUCACAGGAAAAAAAUUAUAUACAAAGGUACAAGCGAACCAACACGAUGUUUGUUAUGUUCCAAUUGGAAUUCAAACAAAACAUCACUUAUUUUGGAAGAUCAAUAAGAUCAAUAAUACAUAGUACCAAACAUAGCUUUCUUUCUUAAUAAGUUGCUGUCGAAAAAGCGAUAAUAUAAACAUUCUUAAUUGUUUUCUUGUCACCAAUCUUGAAUUUCGUAGCAACAGCGGCUCUGAAUCUUCCUGAACAGGAAGAAGGAAGAUGACUCUGAUUGACUGAUUUGACUCUGACAGUGACUUAAGCAUUGGGGAAUCAGAAUUUGACAGUGAGCCAGAGAACGACCAGAGAACGAGUCGGAUUCAGAGCUACUUUGGUAAAUGUUUUUCAAGUGACUAUAUUCUUUGACAGUGAAUUGAUUAUGAUAAAGUGAUGAAGUAUAACAAUAAACAUAUGUAUAACAUGAGUAUUAAACGUCAUCUCAAAUCAUUCUGAAACCCCUGAUAAAAGCAAGUUUGUCACAGCCUUUUGUCGCUGUUUUCAUCUGAAAUGUUUUUGUUUUUUUGUAAAUUCCCAAAAGAACAAUUAACAGAGGUAUAAAUACAAAUUGUUAAAACACAUGUAAUUAAUUUAGUACAUUCUUUGAAAUUGACUAAUUUGUCAGCCCGGGGGUGGGGCAUUUGUUUUGUUUUUUGUCCCAAGGGUGGGGCAUUGUUCCUUUUUUGGCCCUACCCCCUGGGCAUUUGCACGAAAAAUGAAAAUUUACCAAUGCCUGGGGGUUGUCUGGGCGGGGGGGAUGGUUGCAGCAGGAAUUGACUGAUGCAUUGACUGCUCAGCCCGCAUCUGGCCUCCAGCUAAAAACUGCAUCCGCUUGGACACAGUCAUUGUAACAUAAUAAAAAAACGAACUAAUAUUUGCAGACAUAAACUAAUAUUUAUAGACAUAAGCCAACUAUAAUAUAAACACAUAUGAACCCAGUAUAAACAUAUUUAUUAAAAUUGCGUUUGCCCAAGAGCAAUAGCUCAUCGAAGCUUAUCCAGUGAGAUCACAACUACAACAAGUACUAUAUAUCUUGCAACAUGUUAAAGUUGCUAUCCAAUUUCUGACUUACCUCCGAUUAAUUGAUAUGCAAUGCCGAUUAAUUGAUAUGCAAUGCCGAUUAAUUGAUAUGCAAUGCCGAUUAAUUGAUAUGCAAUGCCGAUUAAUUGAUAUGCAAUUCUGUAUUUGAGUAAUGUUAUGUCUCUGUAACUUGUCAGUAUAUAGUAAUUAUAAAAAGAUGAUCAUUACAAUAUCUAUAUUUUUCCUUUAUAUAUGGCCAUAUAUAGUACAUUUGAUUUUUCAUAUAAAAUAUCAUUGCUAUGACUCGAGCCACUAUAUAGCUUUAUAACUUGAAAACAAAACUGGAGUGUCGAAACCUUGGGUCUUGAUCAUAAUUUGACUGGGCUUUGUAAUAAUUUAUUUAUUUAAUUAAACCAGAGUAGCGAGCAAAACAAAAUUAAAUGCACAUGGUGAUAUAUCAUAGUAAGGAUUCAACUGUCUCAAAAAAACAAAGUGGAAUUCAACAUAUUGAGCGAAGGCAACACCCAGAUUAUGCUAAUAUUUUCUUGUAUUUCUGGGCCAUAUUAAUCCAUCAAUGUACAAGAAUAUUGCCUUGACAAGUAGAAUUGUCUGGCGUUAGACAUACCUUGGUACUGCACAUGGUAGCGUAUUGUUUUAAGACACUGUGGGAGAUAUAUAUUAUAGUGUGGUUAACUCUUUGAGUACAUUAUGCCCCAAUACUCCCAGAUUACUCUGUCUAAUGCACCUAGGCCAAAAAAAUGUGGGUUUCCUAUUUCUUCUUCUAAAAACUUAGGUAGGGUAGGUUGGUUUUUAACUUUUUAAUUUUCCUAACAACUACAAGCCCUCGUAGCAGUUCAAGCAUGAAAUUUAUUCGCCAAACGUCAACUUCAACCGCCAAAUCUUAAUUUGCUGCUUUGGUGAAUGGCAUGACUAGCGGUUAAUUUGCUUUCUUAAAUCACUGCUAAAGAGCACAAGUUUAAUAACCCCGGCGAAAAUUUGAUGAAUUAUUCAUGAAAAAUUCAUGAAUUUUGUUCAUGAACUUCCAUCAAAAGUACAUGAACUCUUCAUGAAUGUGCAUGAACGUUAAAUGGCACAGUUCAUGAAAGUAACAGUUCAUGAAUAACAAGUUCAUGAACUUUUUUGUUCAUGAACAGUUCAUGAACUAAUGUUCAUGCAUUUUUGAAGAGCAAAUCAUGAGCUAUACUCAUGAACUUUUCAUGAAUUUUCUCAUGAACAUUAAAUGGCACAGUUCAUGAAAAUUGCUGUUCAUGAAUACUUCAUGAUCUUGUAAUCAUGAACAUUUCAUGAAUCAUUCACGAAUAAUUCAUGAAUAAUUCAUUGUAGCGUUUCAUGAAUUCCUCAUGAAUUUUCAUGAAGCGAUUCAUGAACACUUCAUGGCACAGUUCAUGAAAUAUUCAUGAACUGAUUUAGAUUCCUAAAAUUGGAAACCAUAUUAUAACAUAGUUCACAAUCUUUACUCUAUGAGAAUGGGCCUGUCAAUGAAAUCGUAUAAUUAUAAUAUACGAACCAUGUCCAUGCACUUAUGAAUCGUUUGGGAAAAGGCUCAUGAAAUUAUUCACCAACAUUUUAUGAAUUUUAACUAGUCUUUAGAAUCCAGCUACACUUCAAUUUUUAUUUAUACUGUGUACAGUUAAACUAUUACAAGGUUGUCUUUACUAUAUGUGUUCAUAUAUAUGCAGUUCAGUAUGACAUGCAAACUUAAAAAUAACUAGUCAAUCUUCAUGCACGCAUUUCUUACUAAAACUUACUGUCAAAACAGCUGAAAUAACAAAUUAAGUCGUCCGACCAGUCAUGCCGCAUUUUACCACAGGGCAAACUCGCAAACAAUUAAGGCAACAAAUGGCAUGAACCUCGUUAUACACCAUUAACAAAAUCGCGUAUUUGCGUAUAGAUUAAUUUAUAUAUAUAGAAGUUUAUUUAGGCAUUUCUUGAUCAAAUGUGUGCUCGUAAUAAUCUAUAUAGUGUACAUUAUGAAUGCUAAGAAAUGAAAUACGUUCCACUUUUACGAGUCUUCUUAAUUCAAUAAUAAUUCUCAUUCGAAUAAGUCUCAUUCAAAAUCAUGCACGACUAUAUAUAAAUUUAAUCGAUUUCAAAACUCGAUUUCUUAUAUACUGUAUAUACAGUUCAUCACAGUAUUAUCACUUCGACUCUGUCUCGAUGAUAUUUGCGCCAUGUGGUUGCGCUGUCAUACCAUAGAAAAUUUAGCUACUGUAAGAUCAAUACUUAAUUGGCAAUUAAAGAUUGAGGAGACACCUAUAGUUCCGCGUAUAUGUAUACUAUGUUUGUUAAACAUUUGAUAUAACGCAUUUAUUGAAACGUUUUGGGCAUAUUAAUUUAUGGCCGUAUUAAAAACGGUGAUCCGAUAUACUAUUAUAACUUACUUGAUUGCGCUUAAGUUGCGCUAUACUAUUUGCUGGAAUUUCGCUGACGUAGCUAUACCCCUCCUGGUAGUUUCACCAACAUUGUAUUCUUGAAAUGCAUAUCCAAGCCAAUUACAAACUCCAGUAAACCCAGCAAGAACAACGAAGAACAUAAUAAAACUGAAGUGCUGCGUUAUAAAAGCACGCAAAUUUUUCUUCCCACACUAAAUGUGAGCUGUAUUUGACUAUUUGUAUAUAGCUCGAGGCUUGGCCGUCAGCCUGUCUACAUGGCCAAGAUGCGCAAACCUGAUUAGAUAUCAGAUAAAAUUGGCAGAAAAGACGUUCAGAGUUCGAUUAAUAUAGAAAUGAAUAAUAUAAAAGUAUAGACCUUUAAGACAGCUUUUUCUAUAUAUAAUUGACUAUAACCACGCAUCAACUAAUGUUUCAGAAAUUGCACUUUUUCAAAUGUCACUCAAUUUGAAAUGACAAAUUUAAUACAGACUACAGUAGUGAAUAUAGUGUAUAAUUCUUUACAGACUCGUACAGUAUAUGAUCGUAAAGUUAAUAUCAUUAAACAUGCAUCGACAUUCAUUAAAUUAAUACAUUUUAUGAAUUAUUUAUGAUGUAUUAUAAUCCUCUAAAAUUGUUCAUGAAUACUGUAGUUCAUGGUAGUUCACAAAGCGAAAUCAUGAACGUUCAUGAAUCAGUACAAAUUCAUCAAAAUUUCAUGAUAUGUUCAUCAAGUAAAUUCUAUGAAUUUUUCAUGAAUAAUCAGUUCAUAAAAUAUUCACAAUGAACAUUCAUGAACUAUUCUGUUCAAAACAAAAAGUUCAUGAACUGAUUGGCCAUUCAUCAACUGUUCAUGAACAGUUCAUGAAGAGCAUUCAAGAACACUUCAUGAACACUUGUUCAUGAACCAUAGGUAAAAUAUUUGAUGAGCGGAGCAUGAACUGUUCAUGAAUUUACAUGAACGUUCAUGAAUGCACCAUCAAAGUUCAUGACUUCAUGAACAAAUUUUCGCCGGGGAAGUUUUAAAGCUAUUAUUAUAAUAGAGUUGUAAAAUCAAAAACCUCGCUAGCGGUUUGCCGUAAACAUCAAUCUAAAAGUCUCUAAUGUACAGACCUUUCACUUUCAAAAUAUUAUUACAAAGAAAGAUGGUGUUGACUUACUAAUAAUGGGAGGGGUCAGUGGGUGAGAAAAGGGGGUGGCUUCAACUAUUUUUCCCUGAAUUGGGGUGGCCUCAAACUGAAAAAUAUGUGACAAGGGGGACUCUAGUGUUGUUUUAGUAUGGUGUUUUCAAUUUAGUUUUAGUUCAGUUUUAAUUUUAUGCAGUAAUUUAGUUUAACCCAUUAAUUUAAGCACCAGCGCUCUCCCCUUGACGAGUAAAAUCGUCUGGCAUUAGACAGAGUAAAAUACUAAAGUAGGGUGCAUCAGGGUGCAAUGCGACUCAAUGGGUUAACUAGACACAUGGGCAGAUAGGCCAGUUAACCCAUUAAGUGUCCAGCGCUCUCCCCUUGACAAGUAAAAUCAUCUGGCGUUAGACAGAGUAAACUACUAAAGUAGGGUGCAUCAGGGUGCAAUGCGACUCAAUGGGUUAAAAAAGGAAUUUCUUUUUAGUUUAGUUCUAGUUUGAACAAGGAUUUUUUUUAGUUUUAGUUUAGUUCUAGUUUGAAAGAAAAUUUUAUUUUAGUUUUAGUAAUUAAGUUCGAGUUAGAAAGAGUAGUCCUAGCUAAGAAAACAUUUAGUUUUCAGUGGUAAUUCAAAUAUGUAUGAAAAUGUUCGUAUAAAGGCCACUACUAGGCCCAGGAAAGACCAAAUAUUAUAUAUUCAAAACCAGCAAAAUUUUGUUUAUUUUGAAUUCAAAAUUGCUUUAUUGAGCUGUUCAAGAACUACCUUAUUAUAGGAAAUUAACGAUGCACUUUAUUAACACAGAUUUUAAAAAUUCGCGUUAGUUUAAUUAAUGUUAAUUUAUGUCAUCGUUAAUUUUAAGUAUGUAAUUUUUAUUUAUCGUUAGUUAAAAAGACCUUAUAAUAAUAUAAUAAUAAUACGAAUAUUUUAACAGGAUAAAAACACUUCAGCAAGAAUAUUUCUGUUAUCAACACGUGUCCUGUGUCCAAAAACUACUUUAGUAAAAAUCUAUAAUAGGUUAAAAAUUGAAAGUUCAAGAUGUUCUAAGCAGUUCAUUAAAAGGUUCAUGUGUGUGUGUGUGUGUGUGUAUAUAUAUAUAUAUAUAUUAGCUGAAAUGUAGUUUUAAUAGUUCAUAAAAAUCUUCAGAACUUGUUGCAGAUCUAAUAUUCAAUGGCAGCUCAUUAUAUAAUUUAGCUCCCAUGAAAUAGAAUCCUCUCCGUGCAUAUCAAAAUGCAGCAUAUUAUGAAAUAGAAAUAGCAUCCUCUUCGUGCAUAUCAUAAUGCAGCAUAUUAACGUAAACUAAAAACAUCAGUGCUCCUCUCAACUCAGUUCACUAUCCGAUUCGCGUUAAUUUAAUUAAUUUGUUAACCAUGGAGAUCGGAUUUGUGUUAAUAUAAUCAAGUUUUAAAAGACCUAGAAGCAAUCCACGUUCAUUUGAUGUCGCGUUAAUUUAUGUUGCGUUAAUAAAGUGCAUCGUUAAUUUCCUAUAAUAAGGUAUGCAAACUAAGACGACUUUAUUUAUAAAUAACCCAAUGUAAACCAGGGUCGAGGUUUUGAAAACAUUAAUUCGGUUUCCCAGGAACAGGAAGUAUAAUAGACUUGCUCCAAGUCUCUCUUGUGUACAAAGUUCCCUCAAAGGCCAAAUUUUAUACUUCAAAAAAUAGAUUAUAAACAAUUAAACAUACAAUCUGUUGACUAAUUAAAUUAUCUCGUUUAAUUCUAGUACUUCUGUACUUGCUGCUAAUUUUGCUUUAGUUCUAGUAUAGUCAGGGUUCGAAAUAGCCGCCGGCUAUAGUCGCCCUGCCAGCAAUUUUUAAUUUCAAAGCAUAUGUAUAGGCGAAAAUAUUAUAUUUAUUCACCGAUAACUUGCUUACAAUAACACCGUACUUAUACACAGACAGAACUUGUUAAUGUUUAUUCCUGACACAUGUUGUUUUACAUCACUAUAUUAUAAUUUGGUCUAUGCCCACUCCAGAACAUAACUAAACUUUGAUUGGAAAGUAGCCAGCAAAAAUUUUCACCUACAAAAAACAGCCUACAAAAUUUGACAUAUUUUCAGAAAGUUAUUUCGAACCCUAGCUGAUAGUUCUAGUUUUUAUCUCUUAAAUCGCUUUAGUUCUGGUUUAGUUUUAGGAUUUAUCUGUUUAAUUUAUUUAGUUCUAAUUAUUUUGGCACAACUAAAAUAGGGUUUUAGUUCUAGUUGACUAAAACAACACUAGGACCCCAAUUUUUUUGAUUCUUUCCUACUAAUUUUCAAUCUCUCCCCUUAUCAUAUCCCACAAAAUAUUUCACCUUCUUUAGUUCCUUUAAUCGUAGUUUCAAUAGUUUAUUACUAGAUGCUGAGUUCACCAUAGGACUCAGAGUAAAUAACAACCAUUUUAAAUACUGAUCCUCUAAGAUAGGGAUGAGCCGAUAAGGAAAAUUGCCGAUUACUGAGGCCGAUUUUUUAUUAGCCGAUUAUCGUAACUAAUCGGCCGAUUAAUCGGUACCCGCCGAUUAUUUUAAAAAGCAAGUGAAAAUUCACAAGAUGACCAACAAUGAAGUUGUAAAUGCGGUUUUAUUGUUUACAAUACACAUUAUGUACAAUUGAAAACAGCUUCAAUCUUGCAUGUCAAUAGUCAAAGUUUAGUUUUGGCAGAUUAUGGUGUAAAAACAGGAUAUUUUCAGCUAUGUGGAGCUAGUCUGCUGCAUUUUGCAGUGGAUUGAAAUGUUCCCACUUCACUUCGCUCGAGACAAAAAACACAGCAGGUUUUGCAAUAAAAUGUGAAAAUCUAUUCGUUUGUAUUCAGUAUUUUAGCAUGUGCUUGGCAGCUGCAGAAAAAGUCUUAUGGCCGAUUAUCAAGCAAUAAUCGGCCGAUUAUCGAUUAUUUAAAAACGGCCGAUUAAUCUGCUCAUCCCUACUCUAAGAUACACAAUGUCUUACACCAGUACUUGACCCAUUACUUAUUUUACUCCAAAAAUGUAACAGAUUAAAUGUUUGAGGGGGGUUCCUAAACCUUCUAGAUGAAGUUGCGAGCAUCUUGAAAAUAAAGGACUUGCGAUUGGGGUGGCUCUAAAAAAAUUUUAAUAUUUGGUAUUAAUUACUCACCCUCCUCCCAUUAUUAAUGGCCGGUCCCUAAAUUAAGCUUAAUUUGAGCCUUGUUGUACAACAAUUAUCCAUGUGCAUGUCUUCCAUUCCAUAGCUCAAGGCAUGAGAAAGUCUGCCAGCAUGCUGCCAGGAAAUGUUUUAAUCACAGGAAAUUAUUAAGGAAAAGCAAGAUAUCAAGAGUAAAGCUUGAGAAAUUUCAAAAAUCAGCAUUAAAGUAACAAACAUCACAAUUAGAGCAUAAAUACAAAAAUCAUGACAUAAAAAUUUGUAUCAUGUUGCAGUGCUACGACUGUCUGUUAUCAUGAUUCAUGAUUAUUAGUCGAAAGUGAUCGUUUGAUGAGAGAAAGAAUGUUUUGUGAGUUGGGGGCUCUUUGUGCAUUUUUAAAAAAUUUCCUGUGGUACUCCCAUUUUUAAAAAACAAAAAUACUGUAUGAAUUUUCUGUUGCAUCCUUUGUCUGCUAUCAGUUAGAUAAUAUAUGUUGUCAGUUGAUAUGUGCAAAUAACUAGAUUAAAAUCUCUCAUUGUUUAGGUGUUUUGUUCCAAGAGAACUUGGAUCAGUGAUCAGUCAUCAAAGUUGAACCGGGUGAAGAAAGGAAAAGAAAGAUUAUUUUCUACGAAACAGAAUCAUUUACAGUUGCUGUCUUGAAUCUUGUAAAGAAGGUUAGUUUAUAGAAUGCCUUCCAGGCAAUGUGGCAUGAAAAUUAUAAAUUCUGAAUAAUAUGUUUUAUCCCUUGGGGAAUGAAUCCAAUCUAAGCCAAUAAGCACAGAAGCCCUAUGUCAGUGACCAUUUUUUAUCAGUCGAAAGUAAUUGUUUUGAUGAUAGAAAUGGUUAUAGACAAUGUUCAGAAAGUUUGGAUUAAUAGUUGCUGGCUUUUUUUAAUUAAUUUAAAAAAAAUUCCUGUGGUCUCCCUUUGCUGAGCACAGGUUGCCACUUGCCUGUGGUUGGCCCCUUUGCAAAAUGUUGUAAAACAUGUUUUUAUGAGUUGAAAAUGAUUGUUUUGAUGAGAAAAUCUGUUUCAAUGUUAAACAUUAACAGAUUUUCAUAACAGGAUAAAAAAACACAGCAAAAAAGUAGGGCUUUAACCUUCUUUUCGUCCAUUUUGACAAUUUUUUCAUUUUUCAUUUUUCAUAAGGGGGGAAAACCUUUCUCCUCCACAGAGCCUCCUUAAGUAUUUACAAAUAACUUACAUGAAGUUUCCUGAAUAAAAGUGAGCGUGCACGGUGUGAUGGGAACAUUGAAAUGAAGUUGGGGAGGCUCUGCCAGAUAAUGUGAUGAAGUAUGGUUUUUGAACCAAACUAGUUGUUUGACCUUUUUUGUUGCAAGCCAUUAUAUGGCUUGCAACUAUCAUAUACUUAAAAUCUGUCCUGUCCUGUCCAAUUGUCCUGUCCUGUCCAAUUGUCCUGUCCACUUUUACAUGCAGUUACGAUUUCGUGUCGACCAAUAGGGCGACGGGCGACAGAUCACGGAAAUAAGCCGAAGCUAAUUACUGUAUUUAAAUUUAGUCAUGAUUUGUCAUUGUUUACAUGCAUGGAACUACGCUAUGGCGAUGGGCAUAUAUGCAUAUAUAUCAGUUUUACGUUGCUGGCUUGCUGCUUUUCGUCUUUUCGAUACAAAUUGUAGGCAAGUAAUCAGUUCUCCAAGUAAUAAUUUCUUUUUGAGCCGCAAAAUUACUCUAUGACUAUAUAUUCUCAAUAUUUUUUUAUAGAACUAUAAAUAGUAAAUACUGCAUCGUAGAACUCACAAAUUUGAAUAUAUUUCACUGGCACUGCUCACAAUAGUUCUUUCAAAAGUUUUCACAUGCAAGCUCGCUGCACUGUAUGUGUAAAUAUAUAUGUGUAAAUCAAUAUAUUAUUGUAGUAUUUCAUAAAAAAUAUUUCCGAAAAUAGUUAUAGUUUGAACAUAUAGACUGACCAGCGACUAUAUGCACGUUUCCGUCAUACACGGACUAAGAUCAAUUCUACACUACUCACUAUACCACUAUACUCUAUCUCUGUAUUUAGAAGUGUAUAACAGUCUCAGGGACUUUAUACUACUUGCACUACUGUAUCAAGUACUGUGCUAGUAUAAAACGGCUUUUCAAUUAACGUGUGCUAUUUUUAUGUUAUGAAGAGAGUAUAUUUAUGUUAUGAGCAGAACUGAUAUAGUAACUUCACUUAUAGUAAUAUUACGGCUAGUUACAUAACAAAGCAAAAGUCGUGCACAAGCCGUAUUGCGUAAAGUCCGUAAAUAUAAAAAAUAUGUAAACAAUGAAUUUUAUCAGGCAUAUGCAUGCGACACUGAAUCAGAUCUACUGUAUGUUUACGUUUUGUCACGUGUUUGGUCACACAAUAAUAAUACUCUGUGCUUGUGGUACGAGUUUUUCUCCCUUGGCAAAAAGACCAAUGAGACAAGAAUAGACAAGCAGAUAGUGCUUAUGACACGUUAGACUUGCUCCAAGUCUCGCUUUCAUAAUUCAUUGUCAUGUCGAUCCACUAUAGUGUACAUUACAUGACGUAGCGCAGAGAGGCGGAGCGAGAAAGAGAGACCAGUCGACUUCGGAAAAUCUCGGUUAAAAACUGAACCGAAAGACUUGCUUUAAUUGUUUUCCAUCAAUUUUUUUCUGUAUUAUUUGCUAUAAUAGAACUCAUGUUAUUUACAUAGAUCAACAUAUAUAAACACUGACAGAAAACAAUUGGAGCAAGUCUUGCAUUUUCGAUUCAGUUUUGAACCGAGAUUUUCCGAAGUUGACAAAUCUCUCUUUCUCGCUCCGGCCCUCCAUACUAUGUCAUGUAAUGUACACUAUCGUGGAUCGAUACUAUAUGACAAUGAAAGAGAGACUUGGAGCAAGUCUAGUGACACAUUGGUCAGGUAAUAUGUAUUCUCGGUAUAGGCACAGCGCGCAAUACGCACGGUAAACAGCGAGAAGAGAGCAUUUGUACUACACCUGUAAACAGCCAAAAGAGUUCAUCCAAAUAUGACUAGGUUGACUGGGUUGUAUCGUCCUCCCAGGCUAGUCACAGCGUUGCUUUAUCACACCUUAUCUGCUGUAUCAACUAUGCUCAUAUACUCGAAUGGCUUGCAACAUGUACGCUCCGCGUACCUAUUUUUUAAUCUUGAAAUCGACGGAAAUGUGAAAGAAAUUGAAAUGGAUCUUAAUAAUCUGAGUAUCAAAGUUCAAUAGAGUCAUUUUUAUAAAGAAAUGUUGCAAUUAAGAGGUUAUUUAUAAUUAGAUAGCUCAUAUCCCAUUGAUAUUCGUUUGCAAUUUCUCAAUAUUUUUCGAUGCAAAUGGACAGAAGAUAUUGAUAUUGAAUUCACCGCAGGAUACUCUCAAGUACGCCUGAAAAUGAAAGUCGAAAACAUGUUUUAACACCCUUGGGGGUGAUCGAACUUCGCUACAAACGAUUAUAUACGAUGCCAUAUUGAUUUCAUUAACACGGAAAGGCUUCCUUUAUUUAGCUCUUCCCAUCACUCCUUGCACACUCACUUUUCCCUCACUAGAAACUUCAUGUAAGCCUCUGCAGAGUGGAGAGGGAAAAACGACAAAAUAUAAGGCUAAGCCUUUACUUUUCGUCGUUUACUUUUCAUUAAGGCCUGAGAUCCCCCCUUUGCAUUUGACCCAAAGUUUGGAAUGGCUUGGGGCAGUUUUGGAAUUUGGGGAAAAUUUCCAGUUGUCCCCGGCUGGGCCCUUUGUUGAUCCUGGGGUUGCCUGUAUUCCCCUCUCUGCAUUUGACCCAAAUUUUUCGAAACAUGUUUUUAUGAGUCGGAAGUGAUUGUUUUGAUGAGAGAAAUGUUUCUCAACAAUUUUCAGAAAGUUUGGUGUGAGUUGGGUCUCUACAAAUUUUUAAAAAUUUUCCUAUGAUCGCCAUUUGUUGACCGUAGCGUUGCCUAUGAUCCCCCCUUUGCAUUUGACCCAAAGUUUUAAACAUGUUUUUAUGAGUCGAAAGUGAUUGUUUUGAUGAGAGAAAGAAAGUUUUGUGAGUUGGGGGGUCUUUAUGAAUUUUUAAAAAAUUUCCUGUGGUACUCCCAUUUUUUAAAACAAAAAUAUGAAUUUUUCUGUUACAUCCUUCGUCUGCUAUCAGUUAGAUAAGAUAUGUUGUCAGUUGAUAUGUGCAAAUAACAAGAUUAAUUAAUAUUGUUCAUUGUUUAGGUAUUUUGUUCCAAGAGAAUUUGGAUCAGUGAUCAGUCAUCAAAGUUGAACCGGAUUACAUGACAGGAAAAGAAAGAUUAUUUUAUACCGAACAGAAUCAUUUACAGUCGCUGUCUUGAAUCAUUUAAAGAAGGUUAGUUUAUAAAACGCCUUCCAGGCACUGUGGCAUGAAAAUUAUAAAUUUCGAAUAAUAUGUUAUAUCCCUUCGGGAAUUCAUCUAAUCUAAGCCAAUAAGCGCAAAGCCCUGUGUCAAUGAACAUGUUUUUAUCAGUCGAAAGUAAUUGUUUUGAUGAGAGAAAUAAAU
rnacentral:lncRNA from 1 species